rnacentral:rRNA from 1 species
UUAAUUGAAGAGUUUGAUCAUGGCUCAGAUUGAACGCUGGCGGCAGGCCUAACACAUGCAAGUCGAGCGGCAGCACAGAGGAACUUGUUCCUUGGGUGGCGAGCGGCGGACGGGUGAGUAAUGCCUGGGAAAUUGCCCGGUAGAGGGGGGAUAACCAUUGGAAACGAUGGCUAAUACCGCAUAACCUCGCAAGAGCAAAGCAGGGGACCUUCGGGCCUUGCGCUACCGGAUAUGCCCAGGUGGGAUUAGCUAGUUGGUGAGGUAAGGGCUCACCAAGGCGACGAUCCCUAGCUGGUC